CACAGAGGUAAUUGUGACUUUCACAACACAUGCAAAUGUGAGGACUUUACCCAUGCACAGCACUGGGGGACACCAGCACUAGGGAGCCAUAGAGGAAGGAUGACAUGAAAGGAAUUACUAGAAUGGUAACAGGUAUUGAACAGCUGAAAUAUUUAUUUCAACUGCCACACCAACUCUUGCAACAGCUCUGUUUCCAACAGAGUCCAUUACCUACCUAUAUCAGGAGUCAUAACAGUACAGAAAUUAUAGGGACCUGCAUCAGCUAAAGGGGAUGGAACGGAGGUGAGUGGAGUGAAGACACCACAGCCAGGCUCUGCUGAAAUCCCUGCAGGGAGAGGAGCUCAAUGGCACUUUGCAGCUGAUAAACCACACAACACCUGUCAGCCAGGGGAGACAGGAGAAGAUGUCCUGCUGCUGAGCCAACACCUGUGGCAAAAUCGCUCUCCUCAGACAAACUUAUUGGCUCAUUACAGCCUCGUUGUAAUACUAACACACAUCUCCAUCCCAAAGUUACCUGUCUCCAAGUCAUUAUCACUCCUUACCAGGCAUGUGCUGUAUAUUCUUUUUGGCUGUAUCAUUAAAAGCAAAGUGAAACAGUAUUACAAGUGAGACAAUCAGUACCAAAGAUAUGUAUGCCUAGAGUCACUCAGGUUCCACCUAAACACAGAGAAAUAGUAUAAAAUUUGGGAAUGGGGGAAUGGUUAAGGAAGACUCCACUGUAACUGCUGGGGCCAGUUGAUGGGCUGAACCUGUUUUCUCCCCCAUAGCCUUUUGGGAAUCAUACUCUGCGCAGGCUGAAUAUCUCAUUGUGGAUUACAGCUUUUCUAUACAUUGCUUUGAAUAUAUUUUUGCAAUCAGAAACUAUCACCAAUUAUCCUUGAAUCUCAACCUGCCACAAUUUUAUAUUAAGAAGGGGUGUUAUUCCAUAUACUGUUAGUGUGAGCUCUUCAUGGACACUGACAGUUGCUGGCAGCAAAUACCAUACUCAAAUAAAGAGGAAGCCCUGCUGAGGGUUCUCCCUUACUCUCAGGGCAGAGUCUCCCCACCAGGAUGCUGACACUGGUUGGCUGCAAGGGUCUCAGUUUAUCUUGAGGCAUUGACAGACAAAUUAAACACUAAGGGUCAAGGGAACCUCCCCUCCUCACAUGACAAAAUAUGAAGUGAAACUUACAUACUGAAAUGAAUUUACACACAUAAUUAACUACUCCUCAGAACAAUUAUGUCUGUAUUUUUUUUAUCUUUAUCAGUAUUUAAUUAAUUAGCUCAGAUUUUAACAUUACUCAGCUUUCAUAUAUUCACCUUCAAAUAUUUCUUAAAGAUGUGUCCUCAAGACUAACCUAAUUAUUGAUUGGUACUCAGAAACUGGCAAGUAUCAACUCCCCCUUUGUAGUGUUUGUCUCCCUUACUCAUCUCACUCUUACAAUUAAAAAUGUUCUUUAAUCUUCUUCAAAACAAAACAAAAUUAUAUAAACAAGAACUAAAAUGUAUAAACAAAACACUAAAUAUACACAGAACUGUUUCUGUUUAUCCUCAUACCUGCCUUCAUAUUUAUACUCUCAUCAUCUAGACCUUAUUUAAUUUUUAUCUUUUGAACCUAUUGCCACACAACAGAGGACAAUUUAUCAUCCAACUCUUGGAGUUACAAAGCUUUUAUUGCAGUUCUCACUCACUAUCAUGAUAUGAACAUUUAGUAUUAGCAUUUCUUUAAUGAUUGAACAGCAAACUAGUCUCCAAUCAUAUAGAGUACUUUGUUAUCCAGAGUUCUCAAUACAGCAACUUAAGUAAAAAGUUAACAAUCAGUAAAUUAAUUAAUCAAUAACAAGUAAUCAACACAUUAGAUUAACAAUUAAAGUAAAUAUUUUCUUUCUCCCUUAAUAUCUUAGGCACAUGAAUACCAUAGGCAUGCAAAGGCAAUAAAAGUUUAUUAUUAAUAUUCAUGGUUGAAGGGAAUUAGAAAGCAAAUGAAUGAAAGACAUGAAGUGUUUUCAUUGUUCCUGCUCCAAGUCACUGCAGAAUUUCACUUUCUAUCUUAUUUAUUAAGCAAAAGACCAAUUACUCUGAUGUUAAAGGAAUAUACCAAGGAGGAAAAUGACCAAUGUACUAAAGUAUUUAAUGUUGUUUUCCUGUAGAUACAAUUUUCAUUUAAGUUUUGCUAUCACAUUUCUUUAAUAAAUAAAUAAGUAAUUAAGCAAGGCAGACUUUGUGGAAUCACUGUAGCAAUUAAAACUCUUUUUCCUGUCAUCUUUAACAAUAAAAGUUUAUAGCAGCACAAAUGCCAAUUCAGUCUUAUCACGCCUUUGGAAACCUGUGCUUCCUGACUUCAGAGAAGUGUAAUAAAUGGAUGGUUAUUAUAUUUUCUUCAUUUUUAGUAGAUCCUAGAUAUUAAUGCUAGUAGAAAUCAAAAGAUCAUCUUGUCUGACCUGCUUUAUAUCAUAAAGCAUUACCUUUUAUAUAGGUACCUUAUU